AAAGCCUGAAUUCCUCAUACCACACUGGGGCUGGGGCCAGAGACGGGGCAGGAGGAGCUCUUCUCAGCUGGCCACUGCCCCAACCCAGGCAUUUCACUGGGCGCAGUGCGGACAGGCUUCCGCUUUGGUCAUGGGGACAAGGUCCGCUAUCGCUGCUCCUCGAAUCUUGUGCUCACGGGGUCUUCGGAGCGGGAGUGCCAGGGCAACGGGGUCUGGAGUGGAACGGAGCCCAUCUGCCGCCAACCCUACUCUUAUGACUUCCCUGAGGACGUGGCCCCUGCCCUGGGCACUUCCUUCUCCCACAUGCUUGGGGCCACCAAUCCCACCCAGAAGACAAAGGAAAGCCUGGGCCGUAAAAUCCAAAUCCAGCGCUCUGGUCAUCUGAACCUCUACCUGCUCCUGGACUGUUCGCAGAGUGUGUCGGAAAAUGACUUUCUCAUCUUCAAGGAGAGCGCCUCCCUCAUGGUGGACAGGAUCUUCAGCUUUGAGAUCAAUGUGAGCGUUGCCAUUAUCACCUUUGCCUCAGAGCCCAAAGUCCUCAU
rnacentral:misc_RNA from 1 species